AUUUUGAGCUGCAAGUGACGGCCAAUCGAGAGGCAAGCAGCAGCAGUGCACGAUGCUGGGAAGUCAAUAUGACUGCAGUGUGUCUGUGGUAUCUCCCUGUACACAGAGCUAAUCUCUCGCUUAUAUUCUACACUUCGAUUAAAUCAAUUUUCAAGCUCCUUACCGCACGAAACAGGCAGUUCCUCCAGGCAUUUAUUUCCAAUACGUUUCCGGUGGAGUUGGUGCUUCAAUCAGUAAAAAUAUUGUGUGGAAAUAUUAAGCUACAAGCGAUGCAUAGUGAGAUGGAAACGGAGCAG